rnacentral:lncRNA from 1 species
CCCCGAACCUCUACUCGAGUGAGCCCUGGAUGAGCUUCUACAGCGGGACACUACUCCAAGCUUUCACGACAACUGAUCCUCGCCCGAGCUCCCGCAAUAAAUGAUUUUCAACCUUUCAUGAGAAUCGAAGCCCAUCCGAACUUCUCCAGCAGAUGGAUUUCGGAUGAGCUUCUAUGACGGAUGAGCUCCAGCAACUGGGUCCCUGCG